GGUUGUGGCUCAGUGGUAGAGUGCUUGCCUAGCACAUGUGAGGCCCUGGGUUCGAUCCUCAGUACCA
rnacentral:tRNA from 1 species